rnacentral:rRNA from 1 species
AGAACGAACGCUGGCGGCAUGCCUAACACAUGCAAGUCGAACGAGACCUUCGGGUCUAGUGGCGCACGGGUGCGUAACGCGUGGGAAUCUGCCCUUGGGUUCGGGAUAACAGUUGGAAACGACUGCUAAUAUCGGAUGAUGACUUCGGUCCAAAGAUUUAUCGCCCAGGGAUGAGCCCGCGUAGGAUUAGCUAGUUGGUGAGGUAAAGGCUCACCAAGGCGACGAUCCUUAGCUGGUCUGAGAGGAUGAUCAGCCACACUGGGACUGAGACACGGCCCAGACUCCUACGGAGCAGCAGUGGGAUAUGGACAAUGGCGAAAGCCUGAUCCAGCAAUGCCGCGUGAGUGAUGAAGGCCUUAGGUUGUAAAGUCUACUUUUACCCGGGAUGAUAAGUGAACAGUACCGGAGUAAUACGGCCCCG